ensembl:lncRNA
GGGAAAUAUCUGUGGCAAGAUGGUGGUGGUAGCAGACACACCAGGCUGCCUCUCUGUGACAUCAGACUUCUUGAAGGCAUCCUGUGCUAUACUUCUGGUUGUCAAUCUUAGCUCGUCGUUCAAAGAUACCUGGAGGAAAACCUUGCAAAAAGAGCUGGAGGCAGGAGGAGAUCAGUUAUGGAACAGAUGUAUGGUCCUGUUCAGCUAUGGUGACAUGCUGGGUGACACAAGCAUCGAGCAGCACAUUGAAAGCGAAGGAGAGCCGCUGCAAUGGCUUGUUGAGAAGUGUGGGAACAGAUAUCAUGUGUUAGACAAUAAGAACUGGGGAGAUGGAGCUCAGGUUAAAGAGCUAAUUGAUCUGAUGGAGGAGAUGCUUGUUGAUGAGGCUCUUCUUCACAGAGGUGAUCACAUGUGGAAAAGUGUUGCUUCAGCUCAAGGGCAGCAGAUAGGCACAGAGCCACUGUAUAAGAGGGCUCCAGAGGAUUUCAUGCGUAGCAGACCUGAGCAGUCCAAUAACUUGCCUGAAUCCCUCCCCUAUCCAUCACUGAACCUCUCAGAAGAUUAUUCUCAGUUAGUAGUAUUACCAGCAGGAAGAACCAUAGAGUUGGCUGGAUGUAUCAUUGUGGACCAAUAUCGCUUCAUGUCCUAUAUAUUGUCUCUGCUUUCUGGCAAACAAGUACUGAGGUUGCCAAAAGUGGCUCAGCAUGUCCCAUCUCCUGCUCCUCACAACCACCUGAGAGUGAACAGUGAAAGCCUCAUGGAUCCCAUCCCACGCAGACUUGAAACAACACAUCUAGUUUCAUCUCAGACACAGAACGAGGCAUGCAUAGAACAAGAUUUGAUCAGUGUGCAAUCACUCUGCCAUCCUGCACUGAUAGAGCAGACUCUUAGAAGGGUCUCUGAGUCUGGAGGCCUGCAGACCUUCAUUGAACAGUGGGGCAACAGCAGCCUGGAGGAGCUGGAAGCCUUCAUUGACUUGCACUUUGAGAUUGUGUGGGAAGAAGCCAUGAGAUCAUGUCAGCCGCCUGAACCGAGCCACGCCGUGCCCAAGCAGGAUAAUGCUGUUGGGGAAGCUGGAGAGGAAGUGUUUACAUCCAUUCACAGGAAACUUUCAAAGCUGGAGCUGCUUGAGGAGAUAAAAAGGGA